rnacentral:lncRNA from 1 species
UUAUUUUUUUAUGUGUAUGAGUAUUUUGCCUAUGUGUAGGUAGGUGCACCACAUGCAUGCAGUACCUGUAGAAGUCAGAAGAGGGUGUUGGAUCCCCUGGAGUUACGUAUGGAUGGUUAACUGCCAUGUGGGUGCUGGGAACUGAACCCAGGUCCUCUACAAGAGCAACCAGUGCUCUUAACCACUAAGCCAUCUCUCCAGCCCCUCCACCCUGUCUUUCUGAGGCAGGGUCUCUCACUGAGCUUUGAAGUUCACUAAUUGGCCAGGCUUGCUGUCCGCGGGGCCCCAGGAUCCACCCACCUCAACCUCCCCAUAAAAGCUGAGUGUGCAUGCUGGGGCUCCGAACUCAGGUCUUCAUUCCCAGACAUCAAGCGCUUGACCAUCAGACCAGCCUCCCCAUCACCUUCCUUUCUCUCUCCUCAACUCUGACCUCUCUCUCCUCUUCCCUUUCUCCUUUGCCCUCUCGCUCGCUUGCUCCCUCCCCUUCUUUUCCAAUUCUCAACCCCACCAGCCUCCCAGUGGAUCCCUCUCCUGCCCUGUCUCCCUGCCUCCUGCCCUGGUGCUGGAAGGUCCCUCAGGCUCUGAGAGGGAGGUGGAGAAGGGACUUCUGUGACACAUUUUCUCUUUUCUGUCUGUCCUGGAUGCUGGACACUGCCUGGAGGAAUGGAAAUCAGGAGGCGGGAAGCAAAGAACCAGCUAUCUGCAGAAGCAGCCAGCAUCAGCAAUGGAGGACUUCAGCUGACUUCCAUUUCCCAGAUGAAAACAUCUCUGCAUGACGCCAAAGCUCAGCAGCCCAGGACCACCAACGCUGCCCCCCAUGGGGGCACCUCUGUGUGUGGAGGACCCCAGUACCAGCCUGGGAGGCCCACGUCUGCGGGACUCGGCCACCACCUGCUGACAUCAAGUGGACCUGCAGCCUGGCCGUACUAAACAACAGGAAAUUGUUCCCGAUGGUGGUGGAGGACGCUGUGGGAUGGGGGGGGGGGGUGGUACGACAUGGAACAUGCUGUGAAAAUAAACAUUUUUACUCCUAAUACACACAGCAAGUGUUCUUUGUGUUUGUUUGAAACAGAGUUUCACAUAGUCUAGACUGGCCUUGAACUCCUUAUGUAGCAAGGAUGACCCUGCAACCUGGUCUCCCUGCCUCCACCUCCUGAGUGCUGGGAUGACAGGUGUAACCUGUGCACAGUCAUGUUCCCGUAAUAGCAACACUGUGGCGUCUUGCUAAAUGGAAGGUGGGGGCAAGUUAAAAUGGCAGAAGGCUAGAGGCCCAAGGGCAAGUCCCUGCUUGUCUCCCUGGGGACUAGAAUCAGGGUUGAUGCCCAGAGCCAUGGUGUUGAAGCAGAAAAACCUUAAAGUAGCUGCAGCCACACAAUAGGAAGCUUGUUUACCCCUGGGGAGCAAAGAGGAGCACCUAGGGGUCAGAUGAGGAAUGGAGGGUCCACUCCCUAAGCACCCCCAUAUUAGACCUGAAGUCAGGAGGGGAGGAGAACUGAGCUAGGGCCAGGGCAGUGGACAAGAGCUGUGACAGGAGAGGGUGGAUGGGGCUGCAGAGGGUUGGGAAGCCUGGCCAGAUGACACACUCACUAUGGACCUUGAAUGCCAAGCCGAGGAGUUGGGAAUUUGCCCUGCAGGUGCCACAAGAACCACAGAAUGGGCAGCAGAUGGGGGGUGCCCCAGGCUAGGAGGCCAGAGAGGCCAGACUGAGAGUCCUGGGGGAGAAGGAUGAAACUUGAGGUGAGUGUCUGGCCACUGGGGUGAGGCUGGGCAAGAUUAGUGGGCAGGGAUUGGUGCAGAGUGGGGCGCUGUUCUCUGGUGCUGGACCAGGGACAGUAUUUCCAAAACAAGCAUCCAGGAGCCUGGGCAGAGGCAGAGGCGCAGGAAGCUGGGCUCUUGGGGCCUCUGGUGGGAGGGUGGUGGCUGAGGCAGAAUAGAAAUGGGGCAGCCUGCGAUGGGCAUGCGCACUCAGGCUCACUCGCAGUUGCUUAGCAAGUCAUCUGGCUGAGCAUCCUGCCAAUGCAGGUGGUAAGAAAACGAUGCAGGCUCCUGCAGUGCUGGCAGAGCAGGCCCUGGGUCCCACCACAAAAGCAGAGGGGUGGAGCCCGGCCCUUGCAAGCCCAGCCACAAGCCGGCAUUUGUGUCCACUGAGUAGCUGGCAGCUGCCUCCCUUGGAGCUGGGGUGGGGAGUGGGGUGUCUGGAAGCCCUGGCCAGUCAGCUCUCCCAGGACCAGCAGAACCUGGGAAGUCUGGAGCCCAUGGAAGUCAGACACC